rnacentral:tRNA from 2 species
AAAGACCUAUAGGACCUUCUCCUACAUCAC